CCUACGGGCGGCAGCAGUGAGGAAUAUUGGUCAAUGGACGAGAGUCUGAACCAGCCAAGUAGCGUGAAGGAUGACUGCCCUAUGGGUUGUAAACUUCUUUUAUAUGGGAAUAAAAUGUUCCACGUGUGGGAGUUUGUAUGUACCAUAUGAAUAAGGAUCGGCUAACUCCGUGCCAGCAGCCGCGGUAAUACGGAGGAUCCGAGCGUUAUCCGGAUUUAUUGGGUUUAAAGGGAGCGUAGGUGGAUUGUUAAGUCAGUUGUGAAAGUUUGCGGCUCAACCGUAAAAUUGCAGUUGAAACUGGCAGUAUUGGGUACAGUAGAGGUUGGCGGAAGUGGUGGGGUAGCGGUGAAAUGCUUAGAUAUCACGAAGAACUCCGAUUGCGAAGGAAGUUACCUGGACUGCAACGGACACUGAGGCCCGAAAGGGUGGGUAUCAAACAGGAUUAGAUACCCUUGUAGUC
rnacentral:rRNA from 1 species